ensembl:lncRNA
CUCUACUUUACCUGAAAAUCACGUGUUUUCUCUUCGAGAAUCCCCAAUUUAAGCAAAAGUCAUGCGUUUUCUCUUUGCAAAACCCCCAUUUAAGUGAAAAUCACGCGUUUUCUCUCCGCAAAUCCCCCAUUUAAGCAAUAAUCACGCGUUUUCUCUUCGCAAAUCCCCCAUUUAACCCGAAAAUCACGCAAUUUCUCUUUGCAAAUCCCCCAUUUAAGCGAAAAUCAUGCAUUUUCUCUUCGCAAAUCCCCCAUUUAAGCGAAAAUCACGCGUUUUCUCCUCGAGAAUCCCCCAUUUAAGCGAAAAUCACGCAUUUUCUCUUUGAGAAAUCACCAUUUAACCCGAAAAUCACGCGUUUUCUCCUCGCAAAUCCCCCAUUUAACCAAAAAUCACGCGAUUUCUCUUCGAGAAUCCCCCAUUUAAGCGAAAAUCACGCGUUUUCUCUUCGAGAAUCCCCCAUUUAAGCCGAAAAUCACACGUUUUCUCUUUGAUAAUCCCCCAUUUAACCCGAAAAUCACGCGUUUUCUCUUUGCAAAUACCCCAUUUAUGUGAAAAUCAUGCGUUUUCACUUCGAGAAUCCCCCAUUUAACCCGAAAAUCACGCGUUUUCUCUUCGAGAAUCCCCCAUUUAGGCAAAAAUCACGCGUUUUCUCUUCGAGAAUCCACCAUUUAACCCGAAAACCACGCGUUUUCUCUUCGAGAGUCCCCCAUUUACCCGAAAAUCACACGUUUUCUCUUCGAGAAUCCCCCAUUUAACCCGAAAAUUAUGCGUUUUCUCUCCGCAAGUCCCCCAUUUAAGCAAAAAUCACGUGUUUUCUUAUCGGGAAUCUCCCAUUUAAGCAAAAAUCACGCGUUUUCUCUUUGCAAUUCCCCCAUUUAAGCAAAAAUCACGCGCUUUCUCUUCGCAAAUCCCCCAUUUAACCCGAAAAUCACACGUUUUCUCUUCGAAAUCCCCAUUUAACCCGAAAAUCACGCGUUUUCUCUUCGAGAAUCCACCAUUUAACCCGAAAACCACGCGUUUUCUCUUCUCAAAUCCCCCAUUUAAGCAAAGAUCACACGUUUUCUCUUCGAGAAUCCCCCAUUUAACCCGAAAAUUAUGCGUUUUCUCUCCGCAAAUCCCCCAUUUAAGCGAAAAUCACGCGUUUUCUCUUCGAGAAUUCACCAUUUUACCCGAAAAUCACGCGUUUUCUCUUCGCAAAUCUCCCAUUUACCCAAAAAUCACGCGUUUUCUCUUCAAGAAUCCCCCAUUUAAGCAAAAAUCACGUGUUUUCUCCUCGAGAAUCCCCCAUUUAAGCGAAGAGAAAACGCGUGAUUUUUGCUUAAAUGGGGAAUUCUCGAAGAGAAAACGCGUGAUUUUCAGGUUAAAUGGGGGAUUUGCGAAGAGAAAAGGCGUGAUUUUCGCUUAAAUGGGGUAUUUGUGAAGAGAAAACGCGUGAUUUUCUCUUAAAUUGGGGAUUUGCAAAGAGAAAAGGCGUGAUUUUCGCUUAAAUGGGGGAUUUGCGAAGAGAAAAGGCGUGAUUUUCGCUUAAAUGGGGAAUUUGUGAAGAGAAAACGCGUGAUUUUCAUGUUAAAUUGGGGAUUCUCGAAGAGAAAACGCGUGAUUUUUGCUUAAAUGGGGGAUUCUCGAAGAGAAAACGCGUGAUUUUCGCUUAAAUGGGGGACUUGAGAAAACGCGUGUUUUUUGCUUAAAUGGGGGAUUCUCGAAGAGAAAACGCAUGAUUUUCGCGUAAAUGGGGGAUUUGCGAAGAGAAAACGCAUGAUUUUUGCUUAAAUGGGGGAUUCUCGAAGAGAAAACGCGUGAUAUUCAGGUUAAAUGGGAGAUUUGUGAAGGCAAAACGCAUCAUUUUUGCUUAAAUGGGGGAUUUGUGAAGAGAAAACGUGUGAUUUUGGCUUAAAUGGGGGAUUUGCGAAGAGAAAACGCGUGAUUUUCAGGUAAAGUAGAGGAUUCUCAAAAAGAAAACGCGUGGUUUUCGCUUAAAUGGGGGAUUUGCGAAGAGAAAACGCGUGAUUUUUGGUUAAAUGGGGGAUUCUCGAAGAGAAAAUGCGUGAUUUUUGGUUAAAUGGGGGAUUCUUGAAGAGAAAAAGCGUGAUUUUCGGGUUAAAUGGGGGAUUUGAGAAGAGAAAACGCGAGAUUUUCGGGUUAAAUGGGAAAUUCUCGAAGAGAAAAUGC